GUAACCUAGCCCGUAACAUAUUUUUUCUUUUUCACGGCUAAAAUACAUCUUUCCUGCACUAAUCUCAUGUAUCCACGUAUGCACGGGCGUGGAAGGCUGUCGUGGGAAUCAAACUCGGGCUCUCUCAUUUGUGAGCCGAGUGUGCUAACCACUGCACCACGAAGCCCCCUGCUGGGUUGGGAGAGGGGGGGGGCGGAUUGUUUGCAUAUGUGGACAUUUUUUGUGGUGUGUAGUGGGCUGGUGUAAUAGUGGUUUAGGUCUGGUAAUUCCUUGUAUUUUACAGAAACCACUACAAGCCUGAGAUGACUCGCCCCACCUUCCUGGCCUGCCCGCCCCCUGGCAUAAAUUGUUUCCAGAAACCCCUAAAUGACCGACUCUUCCAUGUCUGAGAUGACCCGCCCUGCCCUGCGUCAUGACCUCCCGGCAUACAUUGAAACCACUACAUGCCUGAGAUGACUCGCCCCGCCCUGCCCCACCUUCCUGGCCUGCCUGCCCCCUGGCAUAAAUUGAAACCACUACAUGCCUGAGAUGACUAGCCCCACCUUCCUGGCCUGCCCGCCCCCUGGCAUAAAUUGUUUCCAGAAACCCCUAAAUGACCGACUCUUCCAUGUUUGAGAUGACCCGCCCUGCCCUGCGUCAUGACCUCCCGGCAUACAUUGAAACCACUACAUGCCUGAGAUGACUCGCCCCGCCCUGCCCCACCUUCCUGGCCUGCCUGCCCCCUGGCAUAAAUUGAAACCACUACAUGCCUGAGAUGACUAGCCCCACCUUCCUGGCCUGCCCGCCCCCUGGCAUAAAUUGUUUCCAGAAACCCCUAAAUGACCGACUCUUCCAUGUCUGAGAUGACCCGCCCUGCCCUGCGUCAUGACCUCCCGGCAUACAUUGAAACCACUACAUGCCUGAGAUGACUCGCCCCGCCCUGCCCCACCUUCCUGGCCUGCCUGCCCCCUGGCAUAAAUUGAAACCACUACAUGCCUGAGAUGACUAGCCCCACCUUCCUGGCCUGCCCGCCCCCUGGCAUAAAUUGUUUCCAGAAACCCCUAAAUGACCGACUCUUCCAUGUCUGAGAUGACCCGCCCUGCCCUGCGUCAUGACCUCCCGGCAUACAUUGAAACCACUACAUGCCUGAGAUGACUCGCCCCGCCCUGCCCCACCUUCCUGGCCUGCCUGCCCCCUGGCAUAAAUUGAAACCACUACAUGCCUGAGAUGACUAGCCCCACCUUCCUGGCCUGCCCGCCCCCUGGCAUAAAUUGUUUCCAGAAACCCCUAAAUGACCGACUCUUCCAUGUCUGAGAUGACCCGCCCUGCCCUGCGUCAUGACCUCCCGGCAUACAUUGAAACCACUACAUGCCUGAGAUGACUCGCCCCACCUUCCUGGCCUGCCCGCCCCCUGGCAUAAAUUGUUAAUGGGCAAAGUGUUCUUGCAAAGACAAAGAAUAAUGGGGAGAGAUACACUUUAUUGAAAAAAUGAAAACGAGAAAAGAAAUGACAAUAAACAUUCCCUGCCCUCUUGUCGCCAGUCACUCGAUCACUCCUGGUCGGCUAGUACGAAGCCUUCAAAGUCGUCACCCAAAUUCUCUGGGGCUACUUCAUUGUCCACAAGCAGAUCAUUAUCCUCUCCAUCAUCAUGUUCAGCAACAACAGCAGGUGGCAUAUCUUCUCGCUUGUCACGGUUACGUAAGUAGCGUGUGAUCAAGGCUUGUUGAAGGUUGUUGACUCGGGUUUCGUACAUCAGUUUGUAUUCAUUUAAUCCCUUUUGAAUUGUGUGGAUGCAUGUCUCACGUCGGUCCGAAUUUGAAUCAAAUUUGUAAAUGGCCUCCUUCAAUUUUUCUGUUAUUGCAAAUAUUUCUGUUAACUGCUGAACUGUUGGCUCAUCUUUCUUCUCUUUUUCUUCCUCCUCCUCAUCAUCAGCCUCCUCAUCAUCAAUCAUGUCUUCUGCACUACGUUCAGCGACUCCUCCAUCAAUGAGAACUUCCAUAUCAGCAACACUGACAUUCUCAUACCCCGUGAUGGGUAACGUUUUAGCCACCUGAAGCAACGUGUCCAUAGCGGCCGCUACGCGCUGCCUGUCACCGCCGCUCAUUUCUGUCUUCACCCACGGGAGAACCUUCCUCCAUCCAUGCUUCACCGUUGCAAUAUUGACAAAGUGCCAGCAUUCUACCAUUAAGUCCACUGCUUUCUUGAUAUUAAAAUUACAAAAGAAAGUCUGUGCAGUCAUAAUCUGCUUGGGUCUGCCUGGCGGCACUGCUUGGAAUGUUGUAUCAGGUGUGUGCUGCACUGUCUGUGAGUGGUGUGGGGCCCCAACCUCUGCAGUGGUCAGUGGCAUGGCUGACUGAAAUACAUGAAAAAUAAACUCUGAUGGGUCAACCUAAACAACAAGAAGUGUUAAAAAAAAAAAAACGUACGAUGUCAUAGGUUGUAAUGAAGGGGGCAUGAGUAGCGUUGCCAGACGUACGCACAAACAUACAUACCUCUGCUUGUGGAUGAACACCUGUCUGGCCGUAUGGCUCAUCACUCACGUGCACAUCAUCCACCUGCAGCUGUCUCUGUAAAAUUGUGAUAUCAAUAAUGUCAAUGAUAAUGUUUAUAAUGAUAAUUAUGAUCAUUGUGUUAGCCAUCACAAGGAAACGUUUCAAGGACGCUGCAUGUGUAGCCUGCGCGUCUCUCUCUCUCUCUCUCUCUCUGUGUGUGUGUGUGUGUGUGUGUGUGUGUGUUCAGAGCAACGUUAAGUUGUAGGCUACAUGUGCAAUUCUCUCUCUCUCUCUCUCUCUCUCUCUCUCUCUCUCUCUCUCUCUCUCUCUCUCUCUCUCUCUCUCUCUCUCUCUCUCUCUCUCUCUCUCUCUCUCUCUCUCUCUCUCUCUCUGAGCAAUUAAAGCACCCAAGAGUCCAAAUCAUAUCAUUCAUUGUACAAACCUCUGCUGAAGGGUCGCCUGUCUGCUUGUCUGGCUCGUCAAUCUCCUCCUCCACUUGCAGCUGUAGAGUAAAAACAAUAAUGAUGUUGAUAAUAUAAUUUGUCAGGUUUGUAAUAAACACGAAUCCUCUCUCUCUCUCUCUCUCUCUCUCUCUCUCUCUCUCUCUCUCUCUCUCUCUCUCUCUCUCUCUCUCUCUCUCUCUC